rnacentral:rRNA from 1 species
ACCGAAGCCACGGACCCCGUUAUGCGGGGUGGUAGGAGAGCAUAAUCAGUGCUGCGAAGCUGGACUGUAAAGGAAAGUGGAGCGCUGAUUAGUGAGAAUGCAGACAUGAGUAGCGAUAAGCCAGAUGAGAAUUCUGGCCGCCGUAAACCCAAGGUUUCCUGGGGCAGGUUCGUCCGCCCAGGGUUAGUCGGGAGCUAAGACGAGGCCGUAGGGCGUAGUCGAUGCACAGCAGUUUAAUAUUCCUGCACCGGCAAGGGUUAAGAUAACAAGGGACGUGAAUAAGAAAGUGACUAAGUCAUCGAAAGACAGAGCCUAGCCUUCGGGCGAAGCGCAUCACCGGACUAUUGACCGAGAAAAGCUUGUUAUUGUUCCCCUGGCCGCCCGUACCGUAAACCGACACAGGUGGGUGGGUGUAAAUGCACCAAGGCGCGCGAGAUAAACCUCUCUAAGGAACUCGGCAAAAUAGCCCCGUAACUUCGGGAGAAGGGGUACCCCACGCAAGUGGGGUCACAGUAAAUUGGGUUUGGCGACUGUUUACCAAAAACACAGCACUCUGCUAAGUCGUGAAGACGACGUAUAGGGUGUGACACGUGACCAAUGCGACAAGAUUAAGGUGACUUGUUAGCCCUUGAGGCGAAGCUCGGAGCCGAAGUCCUCGUGAAUGUCGGCCGUAACUAUAACGGUCCUAAGGUAGCGAAAUUCCUUGUCGGGUAAGUUCCGACCUGCACGAAUCGUGUAACGACCGAACCGCUGUCUCGGAGAGGUUCUCGGCGAAAUUGUAGUGGCGGUGAAGAUGCCGCCUACCCGCGGUAGGACGGAAAGACCCUAUGCACCUUUACUAUAAGCUGGUAUUGGGUUCUGAUUCUUAAUGCGUAGCAUAGGUGGGAGACUUUGAAACGAUGGCUUCGGUUGUCGUGGAGUCGCCAGUGAAAUACCACUCUUUAUUAAUUAGGAUUCUAACCCCGAUCCUGUGAAGCCAGGCGGGGAACAGUGCCUGCGGGUUAGUUUGACUGGGGCGGUUUCCUCCCAAAGAGUAACGGAGGAGCGCGAAGGUACUCUCAGCACGGUUGGCAAUCGUGCGUCGAGCGCAUGGGUAGAAGAGUGCUUAACUGUGAGACACACACGUCGAGCAGAUGCGAAAGCAGGCCCAAGUGAUCCGAUAGUAGAAUGUGGAAUUGCUAUCGCUCAACGGACAAAAGGUACGCUAGGGAUAACAGGCUGAUCGCGCCCAAGAGUUCAUAUCGACGGCGCGG